GACGAACGCUGGCGGCGUGCUUAACACAUGCAAGUCGAACGGAAAGGCCCUGCUUUUGUGGGGUGCUCGAGUGGCGAACGGGUGAGUAACACGUGAGUAACCUGCCCUUUACUUUGGGAUAACUUCAGGAAACUGGGGCUAAUACCGGAUAGGAGCUCCUGCUGCAUGGUGGGGGUUGGAAAGUUUCGGCGGUUGGGGAUGGACUCGCGGCUUAUCAGCUUGUUGGUGGGGUAGUGGCUUACCAAGGCUUUGACGGGUAGCCGGCCUGAGAGGGUGACCGGCCACAUUGGGACUGAGAUACGGCCCAGACUCCUACGGGAGGCAGCAGUGGGGAAUAUUGCACAAUGGGCGGAAGCCUGAUGCAGCAACGCCGCGUGCGGGAUGACGGCCUUCGGGUUGUAAACCGCUUUCGCCUGUGACGAAGCGUGAGUGACGGUAAUGGGUAAAGAAGCACCGGCUAACUACGCG
rnacentral:rRNA from 1 species